UACGGAGGGGGCAAGCGUUGUUCGGAAUUACUGGGCGUAAAGGGCUCGUAGGCGGCCAACUAAGUCAGACGUGAAAUCCCUCGGCUUAACCGGGGAACUGCAUCUGAUACUGGAUGGCUUGAGUUCGGGAGAGGGAUGCGGAAUUCCAGGUGUAGCGGUGAAAUGCGUAGAUAUCUGGAGGAACACCUGUGGCGAAGGCGGCAUCCUGGACCGACACUGACGCUGAUGAGCGAAAGCCAGGGGAGCAAACGGG
rnacentral:rRNA from 1 species